AUUUCAUGAUGGGGACAUUGUCUAAAUAGAUCUUUAAACCUUUCCCAGGCAUCAAAUAAAUAUUCAUAUCCCUCUUGCCUAAAAGAAGUGAUUUCAUUCCUCAUUUU